GCGCAGAUCGAAUUUCUUCAACGCUAACUUGGGUUCCUGCAAAUGAAUCGAUGGGGUUUGCAGAACCAGUUGUUCUCAAAUACUGAUAAUGAUCCAACUGAUCCCUCCCUCCAUCUCCCAAUUCGCUUCGAUUUUCUUCUCGAAACCAUGGGGAAAUAAGAAAUGGGGAAAACCCCACAAACAAAAACUGUCAGCAAAGCCAAUUGGGAGUCUAUAGUUUUCAAUCGCAAAGAAAAAUGAGAGUGUACCUGAAAUCAAAGGUUCCUCCAUGUCUGUAUCUUGGUGGACACGAUUUUGGACGGAAGAAAUUAGCGUAAUAACAAGUGGGUUUCCUUCAUAGCGAAGAAAUCAAUCAAAUUUUUGGUGAUGCUAUAGGAUUUAUG
rnacentral:lncRNA from 1 species